AGCCAUCUGACUCCCCUCCAAUAAGUCUCCCUAAAUGACUACAUGUAAAUGUUUGGAGGGGGCGUGUCUAUCUGGCCGCUUCCUAACCCUCUGUUCAUGCUAGUUCCUGUACUGCUCAUAUGUCACUUUGUGUCAUGGUUGAUCCUCCGCCUCCACACACCCACACACACACACACACACACCUGUGACGUAUCCGGCUCAUCAUCCUGUACAAACUCUCCGGAGCGUAGAGCCGUCAUGACCUUCCCUGGUUGAAACAACAGAAGGAAGUUAGGAGAACAUUUUCACACUGCCCACAUCCUGUCAGGAGAAUUUUACCAUGACGAGUAACAGGUAACUGCCAACCUUGACAUGUAACUGCCAACCUUCUGAUUAAUAGACAGGUAUACUGGUUGCUGUGAACGCUGACUCAUAUCUCUCUGUCACGUAGGAAUACUCAUACACGUACACGCACACAGACACACAAGUAUGUCUCUUAACCUUGUUUUGAACUUUAGGGCCCUUUUGGAUGUUUUCCCUUUCAUCUCCCAUGACAACAGAUCAGGAAGGCAGGUUACAGAUGAACAAGUGCACCGUGUAAAAUUCACAGCCCAUUCCUAAAUCGCUGCCCCUCAUCGCAGCAUGCCAAAACACUCAUCAUAGAAGGAAAUUUACGUACAAAGAACGUUGCUUUAACACGCCAUAUAAUCUUUAUUUUAUGCUUUUAAAUACAUUUAUUCGGGUCUCAUCGGACAUUCUUUAGAUUCCCACAAUUUUUUUAUAGUUUGUGUCAAAUUUGGUAACUUCUGCACCUUUUUAUUCUCUAGGUUGUCAUCUUUCUGUUCUCUUAUUUUUUUUCUUGGUGUAGACUCAUAGGCAGUCCCUCACUGGUCAUCUCAGAGAAAGAUCUUGGAUUGUCCGUGAAAAUCCCCGGAAAUAGGUGUCCUGGAUGCUAACUUGGUCCCUUCCCAAGAUAGAGACCCCUCGAAGCCACAGCCUGCGAGGGAACGUUGCGAAUUGCUGUCAUCACACGGCAACCACAGACACAUGUAACCAAGCCCUCCGAACAAUCACAGCGAAACCAACACUGCCUCGACUGUUCUCCCCUGGUAGCUUUCACUGGGAAUCUCUCUCCCCUGUCCUCCCCUGGUAGCUUUCACUGGGAAUCUCUCUCCCCUGUCCUCCUCUCUAUUCUCGGGUUGUUUCUAUUUCCGGCCUUAACACGCUUCCCCUCCUUUCCGUCUCUGGGGGGUCGUCCGCAAAGGAGAUUUUAGACUUAUCCUUUCUCCCUCUCUGUCUUCUUCUAUCCCUUCCUCCCCUCCUUUUAGUGGGGAGCUCAGAUCUGGCGAAUGGCCACGUGGGCUUUAAUGCAUUCCUUCCUGGUGUUAUUUUAGUGUCACUCUGUGUCUUGGGUUCAAUUAGCUCUAUGUGUUGUUUCUCCAUGCCAAGAGCAGCCUGCCAAGAAAGCUCACUCCCCUCCAGUGGACAAACUAAUAGCAUGUGGGAAAUGUUCCUGCUAAUCCUUAUUAUCUCACACGGGCCCCAUCGCGGGCUCUGCUGCAUGCUAGAUGCUCUGCCUGAAAACGCUGUUCAUCCUUCAGAAACAGACAACUAAAAACGGCUGGUUACAAUAAAACACCCCCUCUUCCUCCUCCACAUCCCUCCCCCCUUCUUCUUCCUCCACAUCCCUCCCCCCUUCUUCU